rnacentral:rRNA from 1 species
ACUCCUACGGGAGGCAGCAGUGAGGAAUAUUGGACAAUGGAGGCAACUCUGAUCCAGCCAUGCCGCGUGCAGGAAGACGGCCCUACGGGUUGUAAACUGCUUUUAUACGGGAAGAACCCUUCCUACGAGUAGGGAGUUGACGGUACCGUAAGAAUAAGCAUCGGCUAACUCCGUGCCAGCAGCCGCGGUAAUACGGAGGAUGCAAGCGUUAUCCGGAAUCAUUGGGUUUAAAGGGUCCGCAGGCGGACUGGUAAGUCAGUGGUGAAAUCCCAUCGCUUAACGAUGGAACUGCCAUUGAUACUGUCAGUCUUGAAUUACUGUGAAGUGGUUGGAAUGAGUAGUGUAGCGGUGAAAUGCAUAGAUAUUACUCAGAACACCUAUUGCGAAGGCAGAUCACUAACAGUAUAUUGACGCUGAUGGACGAAAGCGUGGGGAGCAAACAGGAUUAGAUACCCUGGUAGGAUAG